CAAGUCGAACGAACUCUGGUAUUGAUUGGUGCUUGCAUCAUGAUUUACAUUUGAGUGAGUGGCGAACUGGUGAGUAACACGUGGGAAACCUGCCCAGAAGCGGGGGAUAACACCUGGAAACAGAUGCUAAUACCGCAUAACAACUUGGACCGCAUGGUCCGAGUUUGAAAGAUGGCUUCGGCUAUCACUUUUGGAUGGUCCCGCGGCGUAUUAGCUAGAUGGUGGGGUAACGGCUCACCAUGGCAAUGAUACGUAGCCGACCUGAGAGGGUAAUCGGCCACAUUGGGACUGAGACACGGCCCAAACUCCUACGGGAGGCAGCAGUAGGGAAUCUUCCACAAUGGACGAAAGUCUGAUGGAGCAACGCCGCGUGAGUGAAGAAGGGUUUCGGCUCGUAAAACUCUGUUGUUAAAGAAGAACAUAUCUGAGAGUAACUGUUCAGGUAUUGACGGUAUUUAACCAGAAAGCCACGGCUAACUACGUGCCAGCAGCCGCGGUAAUACGUAGGUGGCAAGCGUUGUCCGGAUUUAUUGGGCGUAAAGCGAGCGCAGGCGGUUUUUUAAGUCUGAUGUGAAAGCCUUCGGCUCAACCGAAGAAGUGCAUCGGAAACUGGGAAACUUGAGUGCAGAAGAGGACAGUGGAACUCCAUGUGUAGCGGUGAAAUGCGUAGAUAUAUGGAAGAACACCAGUGGCGAAGGCGGCUGUCUGGUCUGUAACUGACGCUGAGGCUCGAAAGUAUGGGUAGCAAACAGGAUUAGAUACCCUGGUAGUCCAUACCGUAAACGAUGAAUGCUAAGUGUUGGAGGGUUUCCGCCCUUCAGUGCUGCAGCUAACGCAUUAAGCAUUCCGCCUGGGGAGUACGGCCGCAAGGCUGAAACUCAAAGGAAUUGACGGGGGCCCGCACAAGCGGUGGAGCAUGUGGUUUAAUUCGAAGCUACGCGAAGAACCUUACCAGGUCUUGACAUACUAUGCAAAUCUAAGAGAUUAGACGUUCCCUUCGGGGACAUGGAUACAGGUGGUGCAUGGUUGUCGUCAGCUCGUGUCGUGAGAUGUUGGGUUAAGUCCCGCAACGAGCGCAACCCUUAUUAUCAGUUGCCAGCAUUAAGUUGGGCACUCUGGUGAGACUGCCGGUGACAAACCGGAGGAAGGUGGGGAUGACGUCAAAUCAUCAUGCCCCUUAUGACCUGGGCUACACACGUGCUACAAUGGAUGGUACAACGAGUUGCGAACUCGCGAGAGUAAGCUAAUCUCUUAAAGCCAUUCUCAGUUCGGAUUGUAGGCUGCAACUCGCCUACAUGAAGUCGGAAUCGCUAGUAAUCGCGGAUCAGCAUGCCGCGGUGAAUACGUUCCCGGGCCUUGUACACACCGCCCGUCACACCAUGAGAGUUUGUAACACCCAAAGUCGGUGGGGUA
rnacentral:rRNA from 1 species